UGACAUGAUGUCAAAAAGUCUGUAUGGCAAGCCUGGUUGUACCUGCUUAAGUGGACAAACAGGGUCCAAGGAUGAAGGGCUGGAUGAAGAAAGAAGGCUGGGUCAUCUGGGACUGGUCUACUUUGUGUUCCAAGAGUCAGAACUAAACAUGGAGAAGGAGCGUUCAGUUUUUCUGCACCACAUACCUGGAACAAGGGCUCUGGAACUGCCAGUCUGCUGUGAACAAGGCAGACUUCACCCCGGCGUUCGCAUCCCAUGCUUCUCUUCAUGCCCUUGCGCUGACAGAGACAUGGAUUCGCCCAGAGCAGCAACUCCAGCUGCUCUCUCCGUCAACCACUCGUUCUCUCACUCACCCCGCUCAACUGGGCGAGGUGGUGGGACAGGUUUGCUUCUUUCCCUACAUAUUAAAUACACAUCCACCCCACUCUCUGUCACCGCCAAAUCAUUUGAA